GCCUAAAGCGUCCGUAGCCGGCUAUGUUAGUUUUCGGUUAAAUCCAUGUGCUCAACACAUGGGCUGUCGAGAAUACUGCAUAGCUAGGGAGUGGGAGAGGUAGACGGUACUCUGGAGGAAGUGGUAAAAUGCUUUGAUCUCUAGAUGACCACCAGUGGCGAAGGCGGUCUACCAGAACACGUCCGACGGUGAGGGAUGAAAGCUGGGGGAGCAAACCGGAUUAGAUACCCGGGUAGUCCCAGCUGUAAACUAUGCAAACUCAGUGAUGCAUUGGCUUGUGGCCAGUGCAGUGCCGCAGAGAAGUCGUUAAGUUUGCCGCCUGGGAAGUACGUACGCAAGUAUGAAACUUAAAGGAAUUGGCGGGGGAGCACCACAAGGGGUGAAGCCUGCGGUUCAAUUGGAGUCAACGCCAGAAAUCUUACCCGGAGAGACAGCAGAAUGAAGGUCAAGCUGAAGACUUUACCAGACAAGCUGAGAAGUGGUGCAUGGCCGUCGCCAGCUCGUGCCGUGAGAUGUCCUGUUAAGUCAGGUAACGAGCGAGAUCCCUGCCUCUAGUUGCCACCAUUGCUCUCAGGAGCAAUGGGGCGAAUUAGCGGGACUGCCGCAGUUAAUGCGGAGGAAGGAGGGGGCCACGGCAGGUCAGUAUGCCCCGAA
rnacentral:rRNA from 1 species